UUAUUGGGUUUCUUUCCAAAAU
rnacentral:siRNA from 1 species